rnacentral:rRNA from 1 species
CCUACGGGAGGCAGCAGUGAGGAAUAUUGGUCAAUGGCCGGAAGGCUGAACCAGCCAUGCCGCGUGAAGGUCAGUGCCCUAUGGGCGUUAAACUUCUUUUGUGCGGGAGCAAUAAUGGUCACGUGUGGCCAGACGAGAGUACCGUACGAAUAAGCAUCGGCUAACUCCGUGACAGCAGCCGCGGGAAGACGGGGGAUGCAAGCGUUAUCCGGAUUUAUUGGGUUUAAAGGGUGCGUAGGCUGUGAGGUAAGUCAGCGUUGAAAUGCCCCCGCUCAACGGGGUGAAGUGCCAUUGAUACUGCCGUGCUGGAAUGCGGAUGCCGUGGGAGGAAUGUGUGGUGUAGCGGUGAAAUGCAUAGAUAUCACACAGAACACCGAUUGCGAAGGCAUCUCACGAAUCCGCGAUUGACGCUGCUGCACGAAAGCGUGGGUAUCAAACAGGAUUAGAUACCCCAGUAGUC